rnacentral:lncRNA from 1 species
AACACGUAGUACAUCACGCUCUGGCCCGCCAUGAAGUGCUGCUCCGCCGUCUCCAGGAAGCGCUCCAGGUACUUCUCCAGUUCUUAGACUAAGAGGAACUGGACACCAGGAGCCUCAUACCAGGACUGCCCAGCCGAGCCACUCGAUUCCUGACCCACAUGGCCCUUGAGAUGACAAGUGAUUGCUGCUUAAAGUCACUGAGUUCUGGAAUAAUUUACAUCAUGGCAAUAGGUAACUAAUGCAGAUUCUGGUACCUGGAAAAGGAGUGCUGACAUCAAACAGCUCUAUAGAUGUGGGCGUGGCCUCAGAACUGGCCACAGGCAGGAGCCAGAAGGACUCUGUGGAAAGCGUGAGUGUCUAAGGUGCUUUGAGAGACUGUAUAUAGAAGUCUCAUGGCCUUUAGGGAAGCUGCUGGGGAGGCCUAAAGGAAAGUGAGGAAACUCUUAGUGGAGAUUGGAAGAAACAGGGUCUCUGUUAUGAAAUAAAAGAACAUUUUGUAAAAAUGUGGUUGGUAGCAGAAAUGUAAGUUGAAUGUACCUCAUGAAGUGGGUGGUCUAGCUAAGGAGAUUUUCAGGCAGAAUGUGGAAGGUGUUGCUUGGCUUCUUACUGCUGCUCACAGUAAAAUAGGAGAGAGAGAAGGUAAAAACAAACAAACAAAACUGUUCAACAUAAAGGAACCGGGAUCUGCCGGUUUUAAAAAUGCCCAGCCUCUCCAGAUGGCACAUGAUGCUAACAUUAAGAAAUGGUUUCUAGGCAAAGAUCAAAUUCAGGGCACAGUCAAGAAAACACGGUCUACAGAUUAAACUUAGGAUGUGACUUAAAUCUUUUUGUGAAGACUUCAGAAAGAUCUAAAGUGAUGCCUCAAAGAGC